AUGGCCGAGCAUGGGAAAUUCCCUUCGGUCAUGGAGACGAGCUACAAGGUGCCAGAUCAUAUGGACCUCCAACAACAAGACGGCGAUAAGAGGGUCGAGCAAGGGCCAUCCCCUUCGACUACGGCGACGAGCAUGAACCUCUUCAAAAACAUGAAGACGACGCCCAUCUUGGACUCAUACUCCGAGUCAAGCUAUGAGACCGCACCUGGGGACAUUUGCACCAACAUCUCUCCGACACCCACAUAUGAAGAGAUGCCCCAAUUCCCAUGUGAGGAGAGCCACCCCACCAUGAGUGAUAUGAGUGACUCCACCAUAUGUGACAUUCAGUGCAUUUCCUAUGAGAGAAUGAGUGUGACCACCACUAGCCCCACACAUGAUAGCAUGCCACAUAUCCUAUGUGAGGUUGAGAGCCAUUUGAGUGACUCCACCAACCAUACGAGUGAGAGCAUCCAAGAGGGAGUGAGUGAGCCACAACACUUAGUGAGUGAGGUAGUUGACACGGCAUGUGAGGCCACUAUGAUUUCUAACAACUUAACCUCUACUCCGAGUGUGUUUUCUUUGGUGCUAGGUCUCCUACAUGACGUCAUGCCUAUCCUCGACGAGUCCAUACCUCCAAUGGAGACGAUGAUGGCCAUGGUGUACGAUGAUACACCCCCCACAUGGUUCCAUCAAGAUGAAGAUGAUCAUGACUAG
rnacentral:rRNA from 1 species